UGGCUGUUACUUGUGUCUCUUUCCUGGUGGCUGCAGGUUCAAAUUUAACAGACCCUGCAUACAAACUGAAAAGAGUCUGCAAUCAGGUUCAUUAACUAGCUGAAUACCCUUAAAGGCGUAUGCGUUUAUGCUUGGUUUUACCAUCCUACGACCAUUCUGGGUUUAUUAUCCAUCUUUAUUAAAAGUUGGUCCUAUAUAUAUGGACUAUGGAUGUUUUAUAUCCAUGAAGACCUUUGUUCCUUUUUUUGUGAUACCAUACAGAAACCCCUGAUGAAGUCGUUCUGACGAAACGCGUUGGGUCGAAUCAGUUACGGUCUCUUAUUUAGUUCAUCAGUACACCCUACAGAAUAUACACCUAUAAGGAUGUUGAGGAAACUUGAAGACCUAUUCCAUCUCUAUUUAAUACAGUACAGGGACAUCCUAUUUCCUGGUCACUGGAAAAUUUGUCUCAUAUGGAGUCGGCGCCGGACCUCGUCAUCUUGGCUUCUGGUCACAUGUCCAUAAAGCACCAAUGGGAAUAGAAAGAAGCAGCACCAGUUGGAAACAGCUAUGACUACACAGAUCAGCUAAUCACCCAAGGAUCCAAUUGGCAGUCAAGCAGUAGCCAAGUGAUUUCCCUGACCAACCACUGGAGAUCUAGAGGUAUAAGACCCUGCAAAGACUCUUCCUGUUGUCAGUGCUUUGUUGUCCAUUGCCAUGCUAGGGCUCCUGCAGUGGUUUCCUGAAUGAAUAUCCUGAUGAGGACUUUAGUGCAUUGCCAUUUUGCACACACUGACUUUGUUUACGAGCCAUGCCCUGGUUGAUCUGCAAACCAGUCCUGCUCUACAGUCCAGAGCUCAAGUAAUUCAGCUGUGUCCCAGCUGUUCCGCAAACCUCACAAACCAAAAAAGUGACAACACGUGGCGCUACCGUAACCAAAAAUGCACCCUAAAUGGCAAAUAGGGAAAUGUUCACAUGAACUGAAAGAAAUGUGCAGUAUUAUUUCACUUACAUAAUUGUUUAAAAAUUCUAGAACAAAAAGAAGAAAAAACACAAUAGUGCAAUAAAAGAUGAUAAUAGGCCAAAGAAUCCUUUUAUUGGUUCCACUCACAUAACUAGGAAUAAUCUGUGCAAAUCAUCCUCAUAUAUGGUAUAAUCCAAGAUUUCCAAAAGUGAUCAGCAAGGCACUGGAAACUGCCACAGCUCCUCAGUCAGGAAGGAGAAGACCCAGACAUACAAGAGAUAUUCUUUCCAAGAUGGAUACGUCUGAAAAUCGGUUAUCAGGACAUAGCCAAAGAGUGCGAGGAAGCCAAUAUAGGACACAACAUUAUACCAGAACUUGAUUAUUGGGGCAUUGAAGAAGACCAUGAACUUCCAGAGAUAGCUGUCAGGUUUGGGUGGUUUGCAGGCUGUUCAGAGAAGCAAGGUUUGCAGGCAGAGCUGUGGAACAACCUGAACCAA